rnacentral:rRNA from 2 species
UAUCCCAAAAGCGGAGGAAAAGAAACCAACCGGGAUUGCCUUAGUAACGGCGAGUGAAGCGGCAAAAGCUCAAAUUUGAAAUCUGGUACCUUCGGUGCCCGAGUUGUAAUUUGGAGAGGGCAACUUUGGGGCCGUUCCUUGUCUAUGUUCCUUGGAACAGGACGUCAUAGAGGGUGAGAAUCCCGUGUGGCGAGGAGUGCGGUUCUUUGUAAAGUGCCUUCGAAGAGUCGAGUUGUUUGGGAAUGCAGCUCUAAGUGGGUGGUAAAUUCCAUCUAAAGCUAAAUAUUGGCGAGAGACCGAUAGCGAACAAGUACAGUGAUGGAAAGAUGAAAAGAACUUUGAAAAGAGAGUGAAAAAGUACGUGAAAUUGUUGAAAGGGAAGGGCAUUUGAUCAGACAUGGUGUUUUGUGCCCUCUGCUCCUUGUGGGUAGGGGAAUCUCGCAUUUCACUGGGCCAGCAUCAGUUUUGGUGGCAGGAUAAAUCCAUAGGAAUGUAGCUUGCCUCGGUAAGUAUUAUAGCCUGUGGGAAUACUGCCAGCUGGGACUGAGGACUGCGACGUAAGUCAAGGAUGCUGGCAUAAUGGUUAUAUGCCGCCCGUCUUGAACCACGGAACCA